rnacentral:RNase_P_RNA from 1 species
GCUGACGGCUGGGGAACAGCCUAAGUCCGUUAAGGAUAUGGCUUAGUACCCUAUAAAAGUGCCACAGUGACGCAGCUCUAAGGGAAACCUUAGAGGUGGAACGCGGUAAACCCCACGAGCGAGAAACCCAAAUUAUGGUAGGGGCGCUUUCUCCGAGGAAAUGAACGAGGAGAAAGGCGGGGAUUUCCCCGCAGAUAGAUGAUUACCGCCGGCCUUCCGUCCAAGACGGCGGCCGGUACAGAACAUGGCUUAUAGAA